GAAAUCUUUCUCUACAUUUGUACAACUAAAAAGCUCAUGGAGGUCGUUUUCCCCAAGCAAAAGAUUUCUUACAGGUCAAACUUGCUCAUCAUUAUCACUUCUACUCAAAAAUUAUGAAAAUUGGAGUCAAUCACCAAGAAACCUUGUCCAACUCUCAUCCACCACUCACAGAGCUGCCAGAAUAAACUUCUAGAAAACAAAUCUAGGCAUGUCACUUCUGUUCUAAACAAUCUACAGUACCUUACAGACUGCAGGAUAAAGCAUGGGGUAUGUAUCUUUCCAUAAUGUGA